GUAAAAGUCGUAACAAGGUUUCCGUAGGUGAACCUGCGGAAGGAUCAUUACCGAAUUGUCAACAAGGGUUGUUGCUGGCCCCUGUAUGGGGGCAUGUGCACGCUCUGUUUACACAUCCAUUCACACCUGUGCACCCUCUGUAGUUCUAUGGCCUGGGGGGCCCUGUCCUCCUGCUGUGGUUCUAUGUCUUUACACACACACCGAAAUAAAGUCUAACGGAAUGUAUGUCGCGUUUAACGCAAUGAAAUACAACUUUCAGCAACGGAUCUCUUGGCUCUCGCAUCGAUGAAGAACGCAGCGAAAUGCGAUAAGUAAUGUGAAUUGCAGAAUUCAGUGAAUCAUCGAAUCUUUGAACGCACCUUGCGCCCUUUGGCUAUUCCGAAGGGCAUGCCUGUUUGAGUAUCAUGAACAUCUCAACUCUCAUGGCUUGCCAUGAUGAGCUUGGACUUUGGGGGUCUUGCUGGCCUGUGGUCGGCUCCUCUCAAAUGAAUUAGCCUGCCGGUGUUUGGUGGGAUCACAGGUGUGAUAACUAUCUACGCUUGUGCUUUUCCACCAGGUAACCCUCAGCAAUGGAGGUUCACCGGAGCUUAUAAAUGUCUCUCCCCAGCGAGGACAGA
rnacentral:rRNA from 1 species